rnacentral:rRNA from 1 species
GCGGAGGAAAAGAAACCAACAGGGAUUGCCCUAGUAACGGCGAGUGAAGCGGCAACAGCUCAAAUUUGAAAUCUGGCGUCUUUGGCGUCCGAGUUGUAAUUUGCAGAGGGCGCUUUGGUAUUGGCAGCGGUCCAAGUUCCUUGGAACAGGACGUCACAGAGGGUGAGAAUCCCGUACGUGGUCGCUAACCUUUACCGUGUAAAGCCCCUUCGACGAGUCGAGUUGUUUGGGAAUGCAGCUCUAAAUGGGAGGUAAAUUUCUUCUAAAGCUAAAUACUGGCCAGAGACCGAUAGCGCACAAGUAGAGUGAUCGAAAGAUGAAAAGCACUUUGGAAAGAGAGUUAAAAAGCACGUGAAAUUGUUGAAAGGGAAGCGCUUGCAGCCAGACUUGCUUGUAGUUGCUCAUCCGGGUUUUUACCCGGUGCACUCUUCUAUAAGCAGGCCAGCAUCAGUUUGGGCGGUUGGAUAAAGGUCUCUGUCAUGUACCUCUCUUCGGGGAGAACUUAUAGGGGAGACGACAUGCAACCAGCCUGGACUGAGGUCCGCGCAUCUGCUAGGAUGCUGGCGUAAUGGCUGUAAGCGGCCCGUCUUGAAACACGGACCAAGGAGUCUAACAUCUAUGCGAGUGUUUGGGUGUCAAGCCCGAGCGCGUAAUGAAAGUGAACGGAGGUGGGAACCUUUCGGGGUGCACCAUCGACCGAUCCUGAUGUCUUCGGAUGGAUUUGAGUAAGAGCAUAGCUGUUGGGACCCGAAAGAUGGUGAACUAUGCUUGAAUAGGGUGAAGCCAGAGGAAACUCUGGUGGAGGCUCGCAGCGGUUCUGACGUGCAAAUCGAUCGUCAAAUUUGGGCAUAGGGGCGAAAGACUAAUCGAACUAUCUAGUAGCUGGUUCCUGC